rnacentral:rRNA from 1 species
GGGGAAUCUUGCGCAAUGGCCGCAAGGCUGACGCAGCGACGCCGCGUGGGGGAGGAAGGGCUUCGGCUCGUAAACCCCUGUCGCCCGGGGCGAACCGUGGGUUUCGACCCAUCUGACGGUACCGGGUGAGGAAGCACCGGCUAACUCCGUGCCAGCAGCCGCGGGAAUACGGAGGGUGCGAGCGUUGUCCGGAAUCACUGGGCGUAAAGGGCGCGUAGGCGGCAUGCCAAGCGUGUGGUGAAAGCCCGGGGCUCAACCCCGGGUCGGCCGUGCGGACUGGCAUGCUCGAGCACUGUAGGGGCGGGUGGAAUUCCGGGUGUAGCGGUGGAAUGCGUAGAGAUCCGGAAGAACACCGGUGGCGAAGGCGGCCCGCUGGGCAGGAAGGCCUCGUCAGAGGCCGGCUGACGCUGAGGCGCGACAGCGUGGGGAGCAAAC